AGUGAACGCUGGCGGCGUGCCUAAUACAUGCAAGUCGAACGAAGUGGCGCACGGGUGAGUAAUAUAUAGUUAAUCUGCUCUAUACUGAGGAACUACAGCUGGAAACGACUGCUAAUACUUCAUAGUGUAGGAUGAGACUAUAUCGUAUCAUCUAGUUGGUAAUGUAAUGGCUUACCAAGGCUAUGACGCGUAACUGGUCUGAGAGGAUGAUCAGUCACAUUGGAACUGAGACACGAUCCAGGCUCCUACGGGAGGCAGAGGUAAGGAAUAUUACGCAAUGGGGGAGACCCAGACGCAGCAACGCCGCGUGGAGGAUGACACUUUUCGAAGCGUAAACUCCUUUUAUCAGGAAAGCGGUACCUGAUGAAUAAGCACCGGCUAACUCCGUGCCAGCAGCCGCGGUAAUAC
rnacentral:rRNA from 1 species